GCCGCAGUGGCGGAAUGGUAGACGCAGCAGAUUCAAAAUCUGCCGUGGGCAACCACGUGGGGGUUCAAGUCCCUUCUGCGGUA
rnacentral:tRNA from 1 species